GACGACCGGCGCACGGGUGAAUAUCGCGUUUGCAACCUAACUCUGACUGGAGCAUAGCCCUGAAGAAAUUCGGAUUAAUACUCCAUAAUACUGCGAGAAGGCAUCUUUUUUCAGUUAAAGCUUUGGCGAUUGAAGAUGGGCAUGCGUGACAUUAGCUAAUUGGUGAGGUAAGGGCUCACCAAGGGCAACGAUGUUUAGGGGUUCUGAGAGGAUUAUCCCCCAAACUGGUACUGAGACACGGACCAGACUCCUACGGGAGGCAGAAGUGAGGAAUAUUGGGCAAUGGGUGAAAGCCUGAACCAGACAUGCCGCGUGCAGGAUUGACGAGGCCAUUAUGGGUUGUCAACUUGCUUUUGUACGGGAAGAAACCCUCGAACUUGUUCGAAGGAUGACGGUACCGUACGAAUAAGCAUCGGCUAACUCCGGUGCCAGCAGCCGCGGUAAUACGGAGGAUGCAAGCGUUAUCCGGAUUUAUUGGGUUUAAAGGGUGCGUAGNCGGGACAGUAAGUCAGUGGUGAAAGCCUGCAGCUUAACUGCAGAAUUGCCAUUGAAACUGCUGUUCUUGAGUACAGUUGAAGUGGAUGGAAUGUGUUAUGUAGCGGUGAAAUGCAUAGAUAUGACACAGAACACCGAUAGCGAAGGCAGUUCACUAAACUGUAACUGACGCUGAGGCACGAAAGCGUGGGUAGCAAACAGGAUUAGAUACCCUGGUAGUCCACGCCGUAAACGAUGAUUACUCGAUGUGCGCGAUAAACAGUACGCGUCCAAGCGAAAGUGUUUAGUAAUCCACCUGGGAAGUACGUCCGCAAGGAUGAAACUCAAAGGAAUUGACGGAGGCCCGCACAAGCGGUGGAGCAUGUGGCUUAAUUCGAUGCAACGCGAAGAACCUUACCUAGGCUUGACAUGUAAUGGACGAUUUCCGGAAACGGAUUUCUCCCUUCGGGGCUGUUACACAGGUGCUGCAUGGCUGUCGUCAGCUCGUGUCGUGAGAUGUUUGGUUAAGUCCAGCAACGAGCGCAACCCCUGUCCUUAGUUGCCAGCACGUUAUGGUGGGGACUCUAAGGAGACAAACCUCUUAUGGAGGUGGGAAGGUGGGGAUGACGUCAAGUCAGUAUGGCCCUUACGCCUAGGGCUGCACACGUGCUACAAUGCCCGGUACAGUGGGAAGCAAUACCGCGAGGUGGAGCAAAUCCUCAAAACCGGGCCCAGUUCGGAUUGGAGUCUGCAACUCGACUCCAUGAAGUCGGAAUCGCUAGUAAUGACGUAUCAGCUACGACGUCGUGAUACGUUCCCGGGCCUUGUACACACCGCCCGUCACAUCAUGAAAGCCGGUCUUGCCCGAAGUACGUGAGUUAACUUCGGAGACAGCGUCCUAAGGUAGGGCUGGUGAUUGGGAUGAAGUCG
rnacentral:rRNA from 1 species